rfam:Triticum urartu cultivar G1812 contig301164, whole genome shotgun sequence.
UGAAUACUCCCUUCAUCCGAAAAUACUUGUCAUCAAAAUGGACAAAAAGGAAUGUAUCUAGAACUAAAAUACAUCUAGAUACAUCCUUUUUUAUUCAUUUUGAUGACAAGUAUUUCUAGACGAAGGGAGUAUGAA